rnacentral:lncRNA from 1 species
CUAACUAUUCAUUACUGUUCAUUACUGUUCAUUUGGCGGCUUUGAUAGAGUUUGUUUGUUAUAAAAUAACCUGGGAUAUGUGCGAUAAUUCAGAGCUGCACGUAAAGUAGAUGAGACACAGCAUUUAACGAGGUUCGGCUAUGCCUACGUCCUCGGAGAGCAGCAGCAGUAACUUUUCCACUAUGUAAAAUAAUAGGGCUACAAGUUUAGUGUUUACAAUAUAUGUGGCUCACUGAAUUUUCUCUCUAGGAGAAUUUCUCUCUGCUCUCUCUUUCCUCUUUCUUCCUUCUCUUUCUUUCUCUUUUUUUCUUCUCUUCUACUUUCCGUUUCUCUUCUUAUUUAUAGGCUGAAAUAAUCACUAUUCAUCACUAUUCAUCACUGUUCACCCGUGACAGACAAAUUCUAUCAAAGCCGCCAAAUGAACAGUAAUGAACAGUAAUGAAUAGUUAGUGGGCUCCACAUGUUUAUUCUUUUAUUCUUUUACAACAUUCCCCCUUGGAGACCACUAAUGAUAUGUCGGUUGUAUCAUUAAAGACUUGCUUGGAGAAAACCUAGUAAGGUAGAGAACUGAUGGAAAGAAGAGUACAACAAUCUGUAUAGCAUACUUCUGGAUGCUCCCCCUGAUUAAUAUCUCCCCCUUAUGUCUUCAUGACUAUCUUUUGGAUUGAGAAUCUUUCGGAGUGAGUGGAUGAUGUAGCCACCAACAAUUCAUAUAGUAAAUAUAUUUCCAGUGAGCUAUCUCUAUGUAAAUCAUAGAAAUUUUCAGAGUCCGCAUAUCUAAUAACGCUUGGGCUAUUUAUAAGUUCACUUGAAAGAAUAUGCCCAUACAUGGUGUUAUGCGGAAAUAGCAUCAAAUAUACCUCACAUCAUCCCAAAAUGAUGGUGAUGGAGUUGAGCCUUAUCUGAAAAAUAUGAUGUCCGGUCCAACAUACUUCCGGAAAAUCCUUAAAGUGCCCAACGGAUAAUCCUCAUAAAAAUGCUUCAAUACUUUCUUAGUAUAAGCAAGUAUCUCGUUGGCAUAAUGCUCGAUCUUUAAGUCGAGACAAAUAUUUCUGGAAUUCUUGAGAAGCUUUAAUGUGUUGCAAACACAUUAUAAUCAAUAUACUCACUGAGGCAAUUUAUGUACAUUAACAUUGAGUACAGAUUUUGUGCUUCAGGCACAUGUCCACAGACUUGCUUCAUGCAAUUUCAAUCCUUUCAAGGAUUUUGUUUAAAGGGAUUAAACUCUAUGACACAUUAUAUAGCUUUAACCCAGCUAUUUAUACAUCUUUAGGGAAUCACUUCAGGUGAUAUGCUCUGUGCAUUUAAUAACCCUUAAAGAUAACAUGUUGGUCUCCGUAAAUAUGCAAUAAAGGGGCACAAUUGAAUCUAUAAAUAUGGAGAAAACCCAACAUCCCUUGUUUAUGUCAAAAACAUUGUGUCAUACAAAGUAGGUAUAUUCCCUUUUUAUUCCGAACACCCAAGUAUAACUUUUAAUAUUAACAUCUUUUAGGGUUCGUACUGUGGGUUUGUUCUUUCACGUUCAUUCUCAUCUAUAAUGGAAUUGCCUCAUUCCAUUUUGGCCAAUGAUAUUGUCGACAUUUAAUAAUUGAACGUGGUUCCAAUCAACACAGCCCAUUGAUGAUUUGAGUAGCUACUCCAAAAUCAAAAAUUUGUCAUUCAUCAAUUUAUGAUCCCACCAUUCUCAUGUGCAUGCGCAUGCAUCAAUUAUAAGCAUUUCUUUGCUUUUGGGUACCCAAGCCACUGCAGGGGGCUUUUAUUAUGUGAGAAUGUAGAUUAUAACCUCCAAUGGAGCGUUAUUUUAUAGCAGGGCGUGGAUAAUCUCCAUUUAGGGAGUUGGAACAUUUAGAACCCAUAUAUCUGUCAUGCUGCAGGCAUGCCACAGAUUAAUACAUACAUGUCAAUUAAUUUAUGGGACUUUAACCCAUAUUAUGGGACUUUAACCCAUAUAAUUUGCUACGCAUUAGGCGUGCAUAAUAUCAAUAUUGGCAUGUCAAAGGAUUGUCCUUUCGGGACUUCAAUCCACAUCAUUUGCUACGCAACAGGCGUGCAUCAUAUUGAUCACUGCUAUACCCAUAUUCUGUUCUUAUGGGACUUUAAUCUGUGCAGUGUAUUAUCAAUGUAUCCAACUUGCAAUCUGUAAAAUUUGUGUUUAAUAAUUCAUGGAUACAUACAAGCCAUUCUUUUGGAACGGACUUAUCUCCCCAUUUGGUUACCUUUCAAGAUAAAAUAUCAAAUAGGUAUAUAAGCAUAAAAUAACACAAGUAUUGCUUACAUCCUUAGGUGGGAGAAACUUUUCUCAAGUAUCAUUCAAGCUCGUAUCAGCCCAGUAAAUGUAAUGUAGCGCUUGAUGAUCUAGUUAUAUCCUGCAUGAGCAAAAUCACAACUCUUUUCUCUGUCAAAAACAAAUAACCCUCAGAGUUAGGAUCACUUCAUGGAUUCUUUCUUCAGAUGUUCAUUCUAAAGAAAUAAAAUCUCUUAUGAACAGAGAGUUAUAAAAAGAGAAAAAAUGCAAAAAUAAUGUGAUAUUGAUUGCAAGAGAAGGUAAGCAAUCAAGGAAGGAAGCUGGUGGGAGCAGACAACAUGCUCAGCAAUCAAGGAAGGAAGCUGGUGGGAGCAAACGACAAGCUCUCAUUUCUUCUAGUUUAGAAGAACUUCGGGAGAUUAGAGCAUAAGGUUGCCUUCACAGUUCCCUGAUGUGGUGGAAACGUGAUCAGGGAUAGUCUCGCUUCCUGAAUGGAUGAUCAGAGAUAGUCUUGCUUCUUAGGCAUAUUGAGUGCUCACUGAUAAGAAAAACAAGUAGAUAUCGCAUCACUAGGUAUGGAGUAAACUGGAUGUCUUCUGCAAAGAAAAUUUCGUUAGUAACACAUUUAUACACAAAUACAAUGAAUAGGUAGAACCGGUGAAUUUCAAAUUAACCAUAGGAAAAUUGCGAGAUUUUCGGGAUGCUGUUGAAAAAGUGCGAGAUUCUCGUCAUGCUUUUGAAAAAGUAGCUCCGUGAAAUCCGUAAAGCAAGAUCGGCUUUGAAAAUAAUGCUUGAAAACGCCGAAAGUGCCGACAGGCAUUAUUAGAGGCCACGUGAAGUUUUGGACUCUAGGAAAGAAAAAGAUAAUAUGGGGAUUCGAGAAGAUAUUGGGGUCCUGAAAAACAGUAGCCAUAUUUCCUCCUAUAGAUAUGGCCUUUGUAAAACUUGAUUGGAGCAACUGCGUUUCAACUCAAAUUUCUUCAUUUUCUGAAACUUUAGUUUUCCUAAGACUUUCUUCGAAACCUUCUCAAAAAUGGCUUCCUCUUCUUCCUGCCCAAAUUAUUUCAAUUUAAAUGAUGCUCCAACAGCAAACAGUGACGCCAAAGUUUGGCGUUCAUCCUUUGUAUCCAAAAAUCGUCAUCUCACAGUUAAUGAUUCUGUGAUGAUGAAUGAUGCUACUGCUGUCAUAGUAACUAGGAAUUUCAUUACUCCAAUGGAUGAAAUGCUGUUAACAAGGAGGUCUGAGGAAGAGGCUAUUGAUGACUCAAUGGCUUUUAGCAUUCAGAGUGCUGCUUCUGUUUCUAACAUGGCUGAUCGUUUGCGUGUUAGAGCAAACGAGGUUGAGAAGCUAACAACUGAAAAUUCGUCUCUCCAAAGAAUGCUUCAUGAGUCUCAACAGGAGGUUGAGAAACUUAAAGGAGAGAAUAAUUCCUUGUUGAAACUGGUGAGUUCGUACUCAGUUGAUACACUGAGAAGGCUAGACAUGCUGCAGGUCUCCAAUGAAAGAAUUUUGGGAGACCACGAGAAGCUCAUGGCUAAGCUUAAGAGGCGCCGUCCUCUUCCUUCAGAGGCUUCCAGAACAUAAUGUAAUUUUAUAGAUUUUACAGGGCUUGCACCUUCAUUGCAGGUGGAAAAAAUCUAUCUGUUGUAUGUUUCUGUAAUAAUAAUUGCGCACAUUCUUAAACUUGCAUCUGUGGUUUUUACGUCUUUUCAAAAUGACGGUUUGGAACCUUGUGCCUUAUAGGUUCAAAUAACCACAUUGUCUCUCCCAAAUUGCAUGGUAGCCCGGAACUUUUGGCCUGGACACAAACUCAGAAUUUAUUUGCCCUUUUCAAAUGGACAUGAAAUAUGAAUUGAGUAAAAGCCACGAUAAUAUCGCAAUAUAGUAGUGAAGAGCAUUAACUAGUAUAUACCCACAACUUCAAGUUCAGGAUCUCUCAUAUAUUUGGAUCCAUGGGCUUCCGGCCCAGGUAUAAUAAAAUAUGUGGGGAGCCUCAAUUCAUUAUUUGAGGUUUAUAUUGAUAUUAUCCAUUUCGCGGUGUAUUCUUAACAAUCGGAAUUCACAAAAUAUAUUUCUUGCUUGAGGUGUCGAUUAUAACAGAAUCGAACUUUAUUAAAUUCAUCAUCUUCUUAUGCCAAAGAAAUAUGUGGUGUACCACAAUUUGCAAUAAUACCUCAAGGGUUGUCCAUUUAAUUGUUGGAACUUCAGGUUCUCAAUACUCUUAAAUUUUGAACUUCAGGCCAAAGCCACAUAUUCUCAUGGUAUGGACAUUUUUACAAUUUUCUGUACAUAUUCCGGGACUUCAAGCCCUUACAUAAUUGUCCAUAUUUUGAGGAACUUCUGGCAUCUCAUUUAAUUUCUCAUCCAUGAGUUUAAGGAACUGCAGGUUCCCUUUUGUAUAUAGUGACGGUUUAUCCAAAAUGGUUAAUAUUUAUGCAUACGUCACUAUUCAUGUGAAUAGUACUGCUCAUCAAGUCAUGAAUACAUAUCUAUUCAUGUGUACAGUACAUCUGCCAGUACAGUUAUCACUAUUCAUGUGAAUAGUACUGUUCAUCAAGUCAUGAAUACAUAUCUAUUCAUGUGUACAGUACAUCUGCCAGUAUAGUUAUCAUUCAUGGCUCAUAUUUAUGCAUACGUCACUAUUCAUGUGAAUAGUACUGUUCAUCAAGUCAUGAAUACAUAUCUAUUCAUGUGUACAGUACAUCUGCCAGUACAGUUAUCAUCCAUGUGUACGGCACUAUGAACCAAUACGGUACUAUUACAUCAUUAAAGAACCCCAGGUCCUUAUUCACAUGUCAGGGAUCAAGGACCUUUAAGUCCAAUCACAUGUUUACAAGUAUAGUACCGGAGAGACUGCCAGCUCUCAUAUUAAUAUCAUCAUCAAGGAUCUUCAAGUCCUGAUGUAAUUGUAUGAUGAGGAUCAAGGAACUUCUGGUCCUAAUCUGCACACUGUAAAAACUCAUCAUACAGCACAAUUAAUCCAUAAAAUAAAUUGUUGAUAAAUAAAUUACUGGUAUGGACGAUAAACCCGCACCAUACUUUAAAUAAAUUAAAUAGCUUGCUGUAUGGACGUUAAUCCCGCAUCAUAUCUUAAAUAAAAUUAAAUGUGCGGUAAAGUAAACGUGCUUAUAUGGGCACUAAUUCUGCUCCAUACAUUUAAAUAAAAGCAAAGGCGUGGGCGAUAAACCCGCACCACCCUUUUAAAUAAAUAUUGUUGUAUGGGUAAUAAACCUACACCAUACAGUAAAUAAAAAAAUGUGAGAAUAAAAACCACCACUGAACAAGAUAAGGAAAGUGUUAGUAACGGUCUCCCACUGAUAAUAUGUUUAGUAUUACCAAGGGUCCAUUUUUGUUAAUGGUUAGUAAUAGAAAAGCAGAUAAAUAUAGUAUAUUAUAUUACCAUCAACUUUUCAUAUAUAUAUAAUAUAUAUAUAUAUAUUAUACUGAUAUAUUAGUGGAAAGCUAGAUGCGUUGGCUUUUCUUCUUUACAUCAACAUAAUGGUUAGUAUUAUAAAUAAUAGUGCAGCACAAAAAUUAUACCUGAGAGCUUCUCGUGCUGAUAACGUGUUAUAAAAUAACCUGGGAUAUGUGCGAUAAUUCAGAGCUGCACGUAAAGUAGAUGAGACACAGCAUUUAACGAGGUUCGGCUAUGCCUAUGUCCUCGGAGAGCAGCAGCAGUGACUUUUCCACUAUGUAACGUGUUAUAAAAUAACCUGGGAUAUGUGCGAUAAUUCAGAGCUGCACGUAAAGUAGAUGAGACACAGUAUUUAACGAGGUUCGGCUAUGCCUACGUCCUCGGAGAGCAGCAGCAGUAACUUUUUCACUAUGUAAAAUAAUAGGGCUACAAGUUUAGUGUUUACAAUAUAUGUGGCUCAUUGAAUUCUCUCUAGGAGAAUUUCUCUCUGCUCUCUCUUUCCUCUUUCUUCCUUCUCUUCCUUUUUCUUUUUUCUUCUCUUCUUCUUUCCGUUUCUCUUCUUAUUUAUAGGCUGAAAUAAUCACUAUUCAUCACUAUUCAUCACUGUUCACCCGUGACAGACAAACUCUAUCAAAGCCGCCAAAUGAACAGUAANNNNN